UAGGAGUAUGAAAUCAACUAUCAAUUUCGGCCGUAAACCUAUGUUUACGGUCGUGAACCUAGGUUUACGAGCGUGAACUACAGUUUACCUUCGUAAAACCGUGUUUAUCGAUUUGUAACUAUGCUUUAGGACCAGUAUCUGUGAUUUACGAGCAUAGCCAAUUACAACACCGUAGGCCCUAUAUCCAAAUGGGAAUCAAGAAACUACAAUUUUUUCUGAAGAGACAAAAUGGUGGUCAUAUUUCGUCUUCUCAUAUUUGUAUUAUUUUUUUUAUUUAUUCAGUCUCCGCUACCAGAUCGAAUUGAGAGUUCCUCUGUCGCGACACUUAGUGAUUUCUUCGAGGAAGUUUCAAAACUGUUACAUGAUCUACAACUGUUUGUACAUGCUAAUGACAUUCAAGUCUGAGCUUUAGAUGACCAUGUAGUUACAACAUUCCAAAACACCCUUGACAGGUUGCAAAUUGUUACGAGACAUGUCAACAGAAUUAGGACAAGGAUACCGGUGGGACUAUAUGAACCUGUUGAAAAUUCUUUGCUGCAGGUGAUCCAUAUACUGAGAGAAUACAUCCACCAACAGCAAACUGUUGAUGUACCAACACAACCUGACUUUGGUGCCAACGAAACAAGUUCAACUCUGUGUUCAAGAAUUGCUGGUACUAAACCUGGGGUCUCUGCGUAAGACAUAACUGCUUCACAGUUGCAUACCUUGUUUUCGUUAGGAUUUAGUGUUACAGAGAUUGCUAAAAGUAAAUUACUGGGUACAAGCUGUCGCCAAACUAUAUGUAACCAUAUGUCAAAACACAACAUUGCAAAUGUACGCCAGAGAUACACUAAUAUAUUUGAUGAAGAGCUGAGAGAUGUUGUAGCCGGCAUAAAUCUAGAAAAUCCUUACUCUGGUAGCGAAGAGGUGGCGAUUUGUUGUCCAUGGAGAUAUUGAUGGGUUUUCAAGGCUUGUUACUUUCCUGAGAGCUUCAUCAAACAAUCGAGCCAAGACCAGUUUGGUCUUCUUUCUUCAAGGUAUUGCUGAUCAUGGUCUGCCUAGUCGAAUACGUACAGAUAAUGGUGGAGAGUAUGUACAUGUUAGACGUUUUAUGAAUACAGAAUUGGGACCAAAUAGGGGAAGUGCUGUUAGUGGCCUGUCUACACACAAUCAAAGAAUUGAAUGCUUAUGGAGAGAUGUCUUUACCAAAGUGUACAUUGGAUAAAUUUUAUAAACUAUUUUAUCAUAUGGAAGAUUACAAACUUUUAGAUAUAAACAAUGAAAUUCAUAUAUUCGCCUUGCAUCACACAUUUUUACCACAGAUCGAUGCUGAAUUAAUAAAAUGGGCAUCUGUUCACAAUAAUCAUAAACUUAGAACUGAAAACAAUAAAACAGCGCUGCAGUUGUGGUAUGCUGGCGUUAUUCAACAGGCGCGUCCUCAGUCCACUGCUAUGAGGAAUAUAUCUGACAGCAGACAUGGAUCUUUGGAAAAAAACAAUGUUGACUGGGAUUUAUCAGAUCCAGAAACAAUACUGACCAUUCCAAAUAUUGUGAAUCCUUUAAAUGAUGACAAUUUUAGGCUAUUGCAAGACAAUAUAAAUGUACUUGGUGAGUCAUCAUCUUAUGGAAUGGACAUUUAUGUAGAAGUACUCCAAUUUAUUAUGAAUCUGGCAGUGUGAUAAAUAGAAUAUCACAUUCAUUAUCGAAUGUAGUAGCAUCAUAUCAUUUUUGCCUACUUGUUUAAUAAAUUGAAUAAUAAAUGAGCACUUAUGUUAGAUCGUCUCCCUCUCAAUCUAUAUAGUUACGUGUAUAUCAACAAAUCUAGUUUCCAGCCAAUUUUGCACAAUUUAAUUCUUUGUCAUGCUUUUUCUGGAACAACAUGAAUUCUGCACAUCGUCUUGAUGAGGUGAUCAUUUGACCAAAGUUUCAUGAAAAUCCUAAGGGUAAAUCUUUGACAUUGAGCUGUGACCUUGACCUUGAACUGACAUACUGACCCAUGAAUUAUGCAUAUCGUCUUUAUGAGGUGAUCGUUUGACCCACGUUUCAUGAAAAUCCUUCAAGCGGUUUAGGAGAUACAGAGUGGACAUGAAAUGAAAGGCUCAAACCUUUGACCCUAAGUUGUGACCUAGACCUUGAGCUGGCAUGGCUGACUCAUCAGUUCGGCACAUCGUCCCGAUGAGGUGAUCAUUUGACCCAAGUGUGAUAAAAUUCCUUCAAGGCGGUUAGAAGAUAUAGAGCAGACAUGAAACCUUUGACCUUGAGUUGUGACAUUGACCCCGCAUGGCUGACUCGUAAGUUCUGCACAUUGUCUUGGAUAGGUGAUCAUUUGAUCCAGGUUUCAUAUGAAUCCUUCAAGGGGAUUAGGAGAUACAGAGUGGACACAAAAUGGCUCAAACCUUUGACCCUAAGUUGUGACCUUGACCUUGAGCCAACAUGGCUGACUAUGAGUUCUGCACAUUGCCGUAAUAAGGUGAUCAUUUGACCAAAGUUUGAUGAAAAUCCUUCAAGGGGUUUAGGAGAAACAGGGCGGACACAAAACGGAAGGCUCAAUCUUUUGUCCUCGAGUUGUGACCUUGACCUUGAGCUGACAUGGCUAACUUAUGGGUUCUGCAUAUUGUUUUGAUGAGGUUAUUCAUGAUUAUCCUUCAAGGGGUUUAGGAGAUACAGAGCGGACACGAAACGGAAGGCUCAAACCUUUGACCUUGACCUUGAACCGACAUGGCUGACUCAUGGGUUCUGCACAUUGUCUUGAUGAGGUUAUCAUUUGACCCAAAGUUCAUGAAAAUCCAAGGGGUUUAGGAGAUACAGAGCGGACACAAAAUGUUAUGGAAGAACGGACGGAGACCAUUCCUAUGGAGUAACAGCACAUUUAAGUUCCUCCACUGUCUUAAAUAUGGACACACAUUUUAACGAUGUUAUUGUAAAGCCCUACAUGUGGAUCAUUGUAGUCUGUUCGUCACGAAAACUUAACAUUGGCUAUAACUUUCUCAUAACACAUUUCUUCAUCAAGCUUUCAAUAUAUACUUAUGAAUCAUGAUGACAUCAUGGCCAAUAAGUCUAUGGCACGUCAAACGUUGCAAAAUUCAAUAACUGUUUAUGUAUGUUCUAUAACUGCAUAUGUUCUAUAAAGUUAUAUUGUAAAAUUAAAUAUGUCUUUGGUAAAAAGUCAUGUGUAUAUUGUAUAACUGUAUAUGCAUGUUGCUUAAUUGCAUAUAUAUGCUAUAUUUGUAUUUAAUAAAUAUCAUUAACCUAUUUCCCAAGUCCGGCAUGUUUUGUUACAUUCACAAUAUUAUAUUCAUAAAUAAAGAUAACACUGAG